rnacentral:rRNA from 1 species
ACGGAGGGGGCUAGCGUUGUUCGGAAUGACUGGGCGUAAAGGGCGCGUAGGCGGUUUUUUAAGUGAGGCGUGAAAGCCCUGGGCUUAACCCAGGAGGUGCGUUUCAUACUGGAAGACUUGAGUACGAGAGAGGAAAGCGGAAUUCCUAGUGUAGAGGUGAAAUUCGUAGAUAUUAGGAAGAACACCAGUGGCGAAGGCGGCUUUCUGGCUCGUAACUGACGCUGAGGCGCGAAAGCGUGGGGAGCAAACAGG